rnacentral:rRNA from 1 species
GCUCAGGAUGAACGCUGGCGGCGUGCCUAAUACAUGCAAGUCGAGCGAACAGAUGAGAAGCUUGCUUCUCUGAUGUUAGCGGCGGACGGGUGAGUAACACGUGGGUAACCUACCUAUAAGACUGGGAUAACUCCGGGAAACCGGGGCUAAUACCGGAUAAUAUUUUGAACCGCAUGGUUCAUAGUGAAAGACGGUUUCGGCUGUCACUUAUAGAUGGACCCGCGCCGUAUUAGCUAGUUGGUAAGGUAACGGCUUACCAAGGCGACGAUACGUAGCCGACCUGAGAGGGUGAUCGGCCACACUGGAACUGAGACACGGUCCAGACUCCUACGGGAGGCAGCAGUAGGGAAUCUUCCGCAAUGGGCGAAAGCCUGACGGAGCAACGCCGCGUGAGUGAUGAAGGUCUUCGGAUCGUAAAACUCUGUUGUUAGGGAAGAACAAAUUUGUUAGUAACUGAACAAGUCUUGACGGUACCUAACCAGAAAGCCACGGCUAACUACGUGCCAGCAGCCGCGGUAAUACGUAGGUGGCAAGCGUUAUCCGGAAUUAUUGGGCGUAAAGCGCGCGUAGGCGGUUUCUUAAGUCUGAUGUGAAAGCCCACGGCUCAACCGUGGAGGGUCAUUGGAAACUGGGAAACUUGAGUGCAGAAGAGGAGAGUGGAAUUCCAUGUGUAGCGGUGAAAUGCGCAGAGAUAUGGAGGAACACCAGUGGCGAAGGCGGCUCUCUGGUCUGUAACUGACGCUGAUGUGCGAAAGCGUGGGGAUCAAACAGGAUUAGAUACCCUGGUAGUCCACGCCGUAAACGAUGAGUGCUAAGUGUUAGGGGGUUUCCGCCCCUUAGUGCUGCAGCUAACGCAUAAGCACUCCGCUGGAG